rnacentral:rRNA from 1 species
ACGCUCGACACCCUACGGAAGGCAGCAGUGGGGAAUAUUGCACAAUGGGGGAAACCCUGAUGCAGCGACGCCGCGUGAGCGAAGAAGUAUUUCGGUAUGUAAAGCUCUAUCAGCAGGGAAGAAACUGACGGUACCUGACUAAGAAGCACCGGCUAAAUACGUGCAAGCAGCCGCGGUAAUCUGAGCGGGCUGGCAAGGC